rnacentral:rRNA from 1 species
GAUGAACGCUGGCGGCGUGCCUAAUACAUGCAAGUCGAGCGAAUGGAUUAAGAGCUUGCUCUUAUGAAGUUAGCGGCGGACGGGUGAGUAACACGUGGGUAACCUGCCCAUAAGACUGGGAUAACUCCGGGAAACCGGGGCUAAUACCGGAUAACAUUUUGAACCGCAUGGUUCGAAAUUGAAAGGCGGCUUCGGCUGUCACUUAUGGAUGGACCCGCGUCGCAUUAGCUAGUUGGGGAGGUAACGGCUCACCAAGGCAACGAUGCGUAGCCGAGCUGAAGGGGUGAACGGCAACACUGGGACUGGAACACGGCCGAGAGUCCUACGGGAGGCAGCAGUAGGGAAUCUUCCGCAAUGGACGAAAGUCUGACGGAGCAACGCCGCGUGAGUUAUGAAGGCUUUCGGGUCGUAAAACUCUGUUGUUAGGGAAGAACAAGUGCUAGUUGAAUAAGCUGGCACCUUGACGGUACCUAACCAGAAAGCCACGGCUAACUACGUGCCAGCAGCCGCAGUAA